rnacentral:ncRNA from 1 species
UAUCAUGGCCACGGGAGCUGAACGUAGAUUCGGCUGAGAGGGAACUUCCUGGUUCCGACCGCACCUGAUCCAGAUAAUGCUGGCGUAGGAACGAUAAUAUCAUUUUAU